rnacentral:misc_RNA from 1 species
GAUGAAGAACGCAGCGAAAUGCGAUAAGUAAUGUGAAUUGCAGAAUUCAGUGAAUCAUCGAAUCUUUGAACGCACAUUGCGCCCGCCAGUAUUCUGGCGGGCAUGCCUGUUCGAGCGUCAUUUCAACCCUCAGGCCCCGCCUGGCGUUGGGGAUCGGCGCGGCCCUCUCCGGGCUGCCGGCCCCGAAAACUAGUGGCGGUCUCGCUGUAGUCCUCCUCUGCGCAGUAGCAACGCUCGCACUGGAACUCGGCGCGGCCACGCCGUAAAACACCCCACUUCUGAAAGUUGACCUCGGAUCAGGUAGGAAUACCCGCUGAACUUAAGCAUAUCAAUAAGCGAGGA